rnacentral:rRNA from 1 species
CCUACGGGAGGCAGCAGUGAGGAAUAUUGGUCAAUGGACGAGAGUCUGAACCAGCCAAGUAGCGUGAAGGAUGACUGCCCUAUGGGUUGUAAACUUCUUUUAUAUGGGAAUAAAAUGUUCCACGUGUGGGAUUUUGUAUGUACCAUAUGAAUAAGGAUCGGCUAACUCCGUGCCAGCAGCCGCGGUAAUACGGAGGAUCCGAGCGUUAUCCGGAUUUAUUGGGUUUAAAGGGAGCGUAGGUGGAUUGUUAAGUCAGUUGUGAAAGUUUGCGGCUCAACCGUAAAAUUGCAGUUGACACUGGCAGUCUUGAGUACAGUAGAGGUGGGCGGAAUGCGUGGUGUAGCGGUGAAAUGCUUAGAUAUCACGAAGAACUCCGAUUGCGAAGGCAGUUCACUGGACUGCAACUGACACUGAGGCUCGAAAGUGUGGGUAUCAAACAGGAUUAGAUACCCGAGUAGUC